rnacentral:tRNA from 1 species
GGCUCGGUGGUGUAGUUGGUUAUCACGUCAGUCUAACAUGCGUUAGCGCACUGAAGGUCCCGAGUUCAAACCUCGGCUGAGUCA